GCAAUAAUUACUUCAGGCUUACACAAUGUAAUAAUUAACUAAUUUAUCUACACCCAUGCUUUAAAUCCUCUAUUAAAGAUUCUAUAACAGUUAACUUCUUGCCAACAUUAAAACACCCAAUGUCCUAAUAACCAUUACAUCAUCCAAACGAGUGUUGUAAUGAAAUUCAGUACAACUUUAUAACAUCCGUUUUCAUAAUUACACUCCUUUGGAUGAUAUUAUGGUUACCAGGACUGGCUUUUUUAAUGUUAGCAGUAAGCUAACUGUUACAGAAUCUUUUAUAGAGGAUUCAUAUUAUGGGUAUAGAUAAAGUCUUGUAUGCAACUGUUGAUAAUUAGGUAUUAAAACACUCAUGUGAUACUAUUACCAACUAUUAUGAACCCACAUUCGUGUUUUAAAACCCUUUAUUACACAACAGUUGGAUAAAUAACUUUUUAUUUAACCAUAACAAAUCUUGUAAGUAUCGUCGGGAGUAUAAUAUGUAGGGUUUGUAUGGUAUGGAAAACAUUGAUGUACUGCAGCAGUAUACAACAGUGAUUUUGAAAAGAUUUGCAAGAGCGACAUCUCAAGUCUAUUUUCCUUAUAUGGAAAUAUUGGGGUUGAGCAGGUUAUCAACUGUAAAGUAGAUCCUGUAGAUGAACCCACAACCUGAGAGUUGAACAAAGCAUACAAGAUUGUAUGACGAUUGUAUACGAACACGAGAGGUCGAGGAUUCAAGUCACGCAUAAUUUACAUACAAGAAGGGUGCGAGUGUACCGUCGGCGCGGAAAUACUGAAAGGCUCAGGUGCAUUCAGGAAGUUCAUCCAUACAGCGGCUCAACAGUUAUGGUAUGGGCGGGUAUUAUGAAGAACAGGCGAACUGAGCUCGUUUUUGUAAAUGGAAACAUGAACGCUGAAAAUUACGUUGAGGAUAUUCUCAGACCUUAUGUCCAUCCAUUUGCACAAACCUUUGCCUCCGAUUUUACGUUAAUGCAUGACAAUGCGCGUUCACAUACAGCUAGGCGAACCAGUCAAUACUUGGCAACGGAGAACGUACGAGUAUUGCCCUGGCCUGCACAAUCGCCAGACCUCAACCCCAUCGAGCACGCAUGGGACAUGCUCCAGAGACGUGUUUUGAAGGACUUGGACAGAGUGACAACAACCCAACAGCUGAAGGAUUUGCUACAAUUCCAUUGGGAGCGAAUACCGCAAGAUGACAUAAACAGUCUCAUUAAUUCAAUGAAUAAUCGUUGCCGACAAGUUCUGAAUAGCAGAGGAGGCCAUAAUCUGUAUUAAAUUAUCCUAUUCCUUCACAAUAAAUUAAUUUUCUUUAGAAAUUUCAUUUUGUCAAAAAAAAUUUUAGUUGCUUAUGUACCUUAGUUUCUGCAGUAUACCUAUUCUAAUAUUGUUAAUUUCUGUUAUUAAAAGAAAUUAUAAAGACAA